UCUGUGUUUGCUUCAGGAGAAAAAGACAUUUCCCCUGGCUACUGAAAUCCUUAAGAACCAUAGGGCUGUGGACUUUGCGCAGCGUGUAAGGAUUUGCCUAGCACGAUUUCCUCACUCAAGACGCGGGCCAGCGUGGCUCUGGGGACGCUGGGGACGGAGCCAACUUUCCGGACUCCCAGUUCACGGCCGUUCUUACAACACCGGGCUGAGCCCCGCGGUCACAAGUCGUGCAACGUCACGUCCCUUGUAAUGACAACACUACGGCUUGUCCCAAACCGGACCUCCCUGUUCCCGCAGGAUGGUCCUGUGUUGCAGCAGUUAAUCAGGUUGGGGAAGAGCCAGGAGAAGCUUCCCAAAGUGCCAGACGCCAAGAUGCAACCGGCCAGGCAGCCGGGACCUGCCAGUCGGCCACCCACCCACCGGAGAGGCGUUGUGCAGGCAGGUGGAUGCCCGCCUUCUACACUCACACCUGUGAUGCUCGGCCCGCGACUCGGGAGCCGCCAAGGAGGCAGAGCGCACAAUUCUUUGGACCCACGGGAAACACCACGGCUCCGGAGAGACUUUCCUGGCUUGGAGACAGGCGCUGGAGAAGUUAGCCGCCCAGAAAAGGUCCCGGGUCCUUCGGCUGUCCUCAUUUACAAAGACAAGUUAUUAAAAUAAACAGGAAGCCUGCCUGGUUUUUUCAACGGAGAGGCAGCCACCCUCCAUAAAAGGCGUUAGAACCCACAUCAGUGAGAAGGGUAGAAGGUGUUUCAAGUUCAUCAAAAAGCAUGAGAAGGAGGACGUCCUUUGUAUCUGUGCUUUCAGGAAGUUUCAGGAUUGGUAUUUAUUUUACAUCAGAGCCGCGCACAUAGCAAGCCCCCCUUUACGACACGCGUGGCGUGUGGCGAUCCCAGCGACGACCUCUACCCUCCGUGGCUGGACCGAGAUAUCAUUUUUAUGGGAAAAAUGGGUCUCUUUAAUCAGCUUUAAAAAAACAUCGUGACCAGUCGUCUCUCUUAUUUAAAAGUUUGACUUUACUUUCAUCAAUUUAUAAUCAGAGUACCCCCGGUAUGUUUGAUUCCUGACAAACAAGGAUAAAAGUCUUGUGCCCCCAUUGCUAAUGAGAUGAUAAGACAGCAGGGAUCAAGUUUUUAAUUACUACAGGCGAGGCACUGGAGAGGUACCGAUGAUAUUUUCUAUUGCAUGUCUAAGUUGUAACUUCAGGCUCAUGACAGUCCUGCUGAGUUGCACUGUCUUUGAUGAUCACUCAUUUUUCUCUCCUGAGAACACACAAAAAUUUCUGAGCUGGGAUCCUGGGGGGCUGGCAAUUAUUGGCAUAACCUGGUGCCGGUUCCCUCUCUAACCAUUAUGCUCAGUAAGGACCCCGUCUCUUAAUGCCUGCCAUUAUCCCAAAAGGGAAAUUGGACCCUGGAAAUGUCUGUGAACUCUCCCACUCAAACGACACCCAUUCUCCCUCUACCAGCGUGGGCUUUCCAUUAAUAAUAAAAUGCUUAAUUGAAUUGGGACA
rnacentral:lncRNA from 1 species